rnacentral:rRNA from 1 species
UCCCAGACUCCUACGGGAGGCAGCAGUGGGGAAUAUUGCACAAUGGGGGAAACCCUGAUGCAGCGACGCCGCGUGAGUGAAGAAGUAUUUCGGUAUGUAAAGCUCUAUCAGCAGGGAAGAAAAUGACGGUACCUGAGUAAGAAGCUCCGGCUAAAUACGUGCCAGCAGCCGCGGUAAUACGUAUGGAGCAAGCGUUAUCCGGAUUUACUGGGUGUAAAGGGAGCGCAGGCGGUCUGGCAAGCCUGAUGUGAAAUACCGGGGCUCAACUCCGGGACUGCAUUGGAAACUGUCAGACUGGAGUGUCGGAGAGGCAGGCGGAAUUCCUGGUGUAGCGGUGAAAUGCGUAGAUAUCAGGAGGAACACCAGUGGCGAAGGCGGCCUGCUGGACGAUGACUGACGCUGAGGCUCGAAAGCGUGGGGAGCAAACAGGAUUAGAUACCCCAGUA